GUUGUCUUCACUCCGUCACCAAGGCGAUUUGAGGUUCCCACAAGAAAACUCUAGCUGAUCGACCGUUCUUUCUUCCUUCUCUCUCAUUUUGGCACCCAUUCCUCUCAUCUGUCUUCACUCGGUCACCAAGGCGAAGCAGAAAAUCCCAUAAAAAUAGUGUAGCCGAGGGUUCUUUCUUCCCUCUCUCUAAUUUGAUACCCAUUUCUCUCAUAUUUCUUCACUCCGUCAUCGAGGCGAAGCAGAUUUCAGUUGAGAAGGCCUUAAUCCGAUUUGUCACAUCUUAGAUUUUCUCUGUCGAGGACAAGACGAAUAUGUACAGACUCCAGCUAGUGCUGCAAAUAGUCCUCAAUGAACGCAACAGUGUCAGAGAUACAAUCAUGGCUGCAUGUCAUAUGUGACUUCAUAGUUCAUGAUAAGUUUCUUCCUAUCUGCUGCUACGUACCAAAAUGACCAAGGGUUGAUUUUAGUUUGUCCAAAAUUUAUUAAUUCAUAUCAUGUUGUGUGCUGAUGUGAUUUGUUCCAAUUGUAAAACCAUUAUUUAUGUUCUAUAUGUGAUGUAUCUGAUGAAGUAUUCCACAUCCCAUUGUAACAGUGACAAUUGGGUUAUGCUGAAUAUGAGGACUUUAUGUACAAGAAUGGCCAACGUGUAAGGGAAAGGAAGAGUACCUGGUAAUGCUGCUGCUGGAGCAUAUGGGAUGCAGUCACAGCAAUGUAAUAGGGCUGUUCAUUUUUCCUUCAAUAUUGUAAAGUAAGGGAGUAGGAACAUGGACAACACUCAGUAUUUGUUCUUUUAUUAUAGUUAAGGGUGCUAGUCAGUGUUGUAUUGGCGACUGAUUGGACAACAACUGUGAUUGUAAGAUGUGAUCCACAGUGAUAGGUUUAUUAUGGGGUAUGAUACUAAUUUCAUAAGAGAACAACAAACAUAGACUGGAACCUAUUUGUUUGUACACUGAUGCAGUUUCAGUUUAUCCUUCCAUACUCACAUUAGUAAAUUGUUU